CCUUGUGUUCUGCUCUAGCUAACUGUGGAUUUCUGACACGCAUUUCUGCAAGCUUCUUGCAAACUCCAGCUCAACCCUGUCACAUCCACUUAUUCCACAGCAGCAUGCUGACACCAGAAAUGUUGGCAUACCUUCUUAUUCUUACUGCAGCCUCAUUUUUACUCCUUGCUUCAUACUUCUGUUUUUACCUAGAGCAGAGCUGACAGCUGCAAAAUCUUGCUUUAGACCCAAGGCCAGCAAGCAGGCUGUCUGCAAUGGGCAGCGUCCGCGGAAGCAAGUAUUCCAAGCCCUCAGACUUCAGCUGCAACCCUCUGAAAGACCAUAACAGAGUUAUCCUUGGGAGAGAUCAGGCCUGCAGAUUUUGCAGCGUUGCUCAACAGUCUUUGGAAGGAGCUUGUGCCUAUGCUGGGAAGCACCAGGUAUAA
rnacentral:lncRNA from 1 species